CACGGGGGGAGCGAGCGUUGUUCGGAAUCACUGGGCGUAAAGGGCGUGUAGGCGGUUCGGUAAGUGGGAUGUGAAAGCCCUCGGCUUACCCGAGGAAAGUCAUCUCAUACUGCUGGACUUGAGUGCGGGAGAGGAUGGAGGAAUUCCUGGUGUAGCGGUGAAAUGCGUAGAUAUCAGGAGGAACACCGGUGGCGAAGGCGUCCAUCUGGCCCGUUACUGACGCUGAGGCGCGAAAGCUAGGGGAGCAAACGGG
rnacentral:rRNA from 1 species